GCGGUAGAGAGAAGCUUGCUUCUCUUGAGAGCGGCGGACGGGUGAGUAAUGCCUAGGAAUCUGCCUGGUAGUGGGGGAUAACGUUCGGAAACGGACGCUAAUACCGCAUACGUCCUACGGGAGAAAGCAGGGGACCUUCGGGCCUUGCGCUAUCAGAUGAGCCUAGGUCGGAUUAGCUAGUUGGUGAGGUAAUGGCUCACCAAGGCGACGAUCCGUAACUGGUCUGAGAGGAUGAUCAGUCACACUGGAACUGAGACACGGUCCAGACUCCUACGGGAGGCAGCAGUGGGGAAUAUUGGACAAUGGGCGAAAGCCUGAUCCAGCCAUGCCGCGUGUGUGAAGAAGGUCUUCGGAUUGUAAAGCACUUUAAGUUGGGAGGAAGGGUUGUAGAUUAAUACUCUGCAAUUUUGACGUUACCGACAGAAUAAGCACCGGCUAACUCUGUGCCAGCAGCCGCGGUAAUACAGAGGGUGCAAGCGUUAAUCGGAAUUACUGGGCGUAAAGCGCGCGUAGGUGGUUUGUUAAGUUGGAUGUGAAAUCCCCGGGCUCAACCUGGGAACUGCAUUCAAAACUGACUGACUAGAGUAUGGUAGAGGGUGGUGGAAUUUCCUGUGUAGCGGUGAAAUGCGUAGAUAUAGGAAGGAACACCAGUGGCGAAGGCGACCACCUGGACUAAUACUGACACUGAGGUGCGAAAGCGUGGGGAGCAA
rnacentral:rRNA from 1 species